UACACUCCUACGGGAGGCAGCAGUGGGGAAUUUUGGACAAUGGGCGAAAGCCUGAUCCAGCCAUGCCGCGUGCAGGAUGAAGGCCUUCGGGUUGUAAACUGCUUUUGUACGGAACGAAACGGCCUUUUCUAAUAAAGAGGGCUAAUGACGGUACCGUAAGAAUAAGCACCGGCUAACUACGUGCCAGCAGCCGCGGUAAUACGUAGGGUGCAAGCGUUAAUCGGAAUUACUGGGCGUAAAGCGUGCGCAGGCGGUUAUGUAAGACAGUUGUGAAAUCCCCGGGCUCAACCUGGGAACUGCAUCUGUGACUGCAUAGCUAGAGUACGGUAGAGGGGGAUGGAAUUCCGCGUGUAGCAGUGAAAUGCGUAGAUAUGCGGAGGAACACCGAUGGCGAAGGCAAUCCCCUGGACCUGUACUGACGCUCAUGCACGAAAGCGUGGGGAGCAAACAGGAUUAGAUACCCUGGUAGUCCCA
rnacentral:rRNA from 1 species